GUGACAUUACAAUCUAUAUUUUGAACGGGCAAUAAUUUGGACAUCAUUAUGAUGAAGAGGUCCGCAUUCAACCAGGAAGUUGCAGUGUCAUCUCUGGAGUGGUUUGGAAGGUCGUGAGUCCUCGCAGGAGUUGGUGCUGUCUCUUCAAAAGUGUUGGUCAUCUGAGGUCUUCUUAAGAGGCUGGAUCCAAACUGAAACUGAUGUACUCUCUAGUCACCUCGGGACGGGCAUCUCAAGGUAUAAAGAGAAGAAACAAAGGGGAAAACUCAAGGCAUUCAGUGUGCACUCCAUUCCUCCUUCAAGACGAGAAAUUGAGAGAGAUGUGGAGAGAUGCACAAAAGAAAUACAGAAAAAGAAAAAAAGAAGGGAAUGCCAUUAUGAACCUGACCCCUCCAUCUCUUGAAGCAUCACUAAAUGAAGAUAAUCCUAUGGCACCAACAAACAACAGCACACCAGAGCCUCCUGUCCAGUCACAUUCCAUUACCAAUUCUCCUCCUGAAUGCCCCCCUGAGAAUCUAGAGGUGUCUAAAUUGUCCAUCCUAAGCAAGUUGAUAGUUCAGAAUGAUAAUCUGAGAAAGUUAAAAGGCAGAAUCAGGUACUUAAGAAAAAACUGAAAGAAGAACACUCCAAAGCAGAAAGAUACAGGAAAAAAUGUGAACGGAAAAUAGAGCAAAAGCCUGCUUGCACUAUUAGUGAAAAGUUUCACCCCUGAGCAGCUAAAAAAAAUGUCCAGUGAGAAGAAAAAAAGGGUUGAGGCUUUUCUGCAAUUGGAUGAGAACAGCAUUUUGUUUCCUGGAAAAAAGGACACAAUUGGAAGAAAAGAGAAGAAACAAAGAAGGAUCCUCACAAGCACACGUCAAGACCUUCACAAAGUCUUCAGUGAUAAGAAUGAUAAAUUGCACAGAAUGUCUUACAGGCAGUUCACCAGAUACAAACCAUUCUACAUCACUCCACCAAAAUCAUGCGAUCGCAACACCUGUGCAUGCCAUCAACAUGAAAACAUGAGGCUUUCAAAAAGACAACUAAUCACAACAAAAAGUCUUUAAACACUGCUGUCUUCCAUAUGCUGCAGAACGGAUAAUGACUUGUACAUGAGGCGGCAAUGCACAGAAUGCUGUUUUGAAGAGGGUUAAGUUCAGAGGGCAUAAUCCUGCUGUGAGGGUCACAUGGGAACAGUGGCAGAGAGAACCUAUUACAGUCGGAGAAAAAAAACUACAAGAACUGGGUUAAAAGAACCAAAGCGGGGUCAAUUGGAGAACUGCUAGAAGUGUUCCAGAAAGACCUUGAGGAACUGGGUAGUCAUCAUUACAAUUGGAUUCACCAAGUUAGAGAGUUCAGAGUUCAGAGAGAUCAUGAAGAUAUGUCACAACGAGGCAGAGAUUAAUUGUAAUAUUUUACAGGUGUGAUCAAAUAGUUUGCACAAUAUCUGAGCCAGAACCUCUUCACAGGUCAACCAAGCUCUCUCAGAUUGACUGGCUGAAGUUUAAUAUGGUCUGAAAUGUUUUUGUCUUUCAGCUUCCACUGAUGUUUAAAGAUCCCAUGUGAAUCUGUUAUUAUCCAUUAUUAUCCCAUGGGUAUCUGUUAUUAUUAAUACUACAAAUGUCUAUGAAUUUUCAAUCUAAAAUAUUCGACUAAUUGUAAAUUGAUAUUUUUACUGUUUAACAUUUAUAAUUGUCACAACACACUCUCUAAUUUUAAAAUGUUUGUUAGUUUCUUGACAUGAGAUGGAGUUUGAUUUACUCAUAUUUCUGAGUUUCAUAAAUACAAUUUAUUUACUGUUGAAUGCAUAUAAAAUACACUUUUUUGCAUUGACAAAUUGUGGUGUGGUGCAGUUCGUCAUAUAGUGUGACACUAUAUCAUUUGGUGUGACAUUCAGAAUUGUGACAAUAAAAAGACCUUUUUAGUUAUAAAUCAUAAAAAAGUCAAUGGAACAAAAGAGAAAUAGUAUCAGCAAGAGUCACAAACAUUUUGUUAGAUUUAUAACAGGGUUUGUCAGAAUUAAUCUAAAGGCUGAUUAGAGAUGUCUUAUUUUGCAUGAUGAUUUAGAAAAAAUAAUAUAAAAUCUAAUGGAUCUGCAAAAAAAAGAAAAAAAGAAAAAAAAUAAUCUUGAGAUAGUAAUGAUAAAUAUUUAUGGUGAAGUUAGUUACUUAGGGAGAGUAUAUCCCAUUUUCAUUUUAUAUAGAAUAACCUUUAUGUCACACAAUAUGACAAUUUUAGGCACGAAUGCAACAAAUUGGUAAAUAAAUCCAAUUUCCAAUAUAAAAUCUAAAAGACCACAAAUAUUUUUGGAAAUUCAAAAGUCAGUACAACAGAACUCAAUAUUUUUUAUGCCUAAUAUUUGAAGUUCAAAAAAAAAAAAAAAAAAAAAAAUUCAGGUGUCAACCACCCAAAAAUGAAAAUGGCAAGUUGGCAACAGCAACACUCGAUCGAUUCCCAUCAAUUCCCCUCAGAGAUCUCAAACUUUGACUUUUGACUUGACAUUAAAUAACAGUUCUCACUAUAAAACAUCGAAACACACAAAUGCACACAAAAUCGCUCAGGUCUGAAUUAAUUCAACAUAUUUUCCUCACACCCUCGCUCU